rnacentral:tRNA from 1 species
GGUGGCUCAGUGGUAGAGCACUUGCCUCGCAUGCAUGAGGCCGUGGGUUUGAUUCCUCAGCACCA